rnacentral:rRNA from 1 species
UACGAAGGGGGCUAGCGUUGCUCGGAAUCACUGGGCGUAAAGCGCACGUAGGCGGACUCUUAAGUCGGUGGUGAAAUCCUGGAGCUCAACUCCAGAACUGCCUUCGAUACUGAGAGUCUCGAGUCCGAGAGAGGUGAGUGGAACUGCGAGUGUAGAGGUGAAAUUCGUAGAUAUUCGCAAGAACACCGGUGGCGAAGGCGGCUCACUGGCUCGGUACUGACGCUGAGGUGCGAAAGCGUGGGGAGCAAACAGG